UACGUAGGGUGCGAGCGUUAAUCGGAAUUACUGGGCGUAAAGUGUGCGCAGGCGGCCGCGCAAGUCGAGUGUGAAAUCCCCGAGCUUAACUUGGGAAUUGCGCUCGAAACUACGUGGCUGGAGUGUGGCAGAGGAAGUUGGAAUUCCACGUGUAGCGGUGAAAUGCGUAGAGAUGUGGAGGAACACCGAUGGCGAAGGCAGCCUUCUGGGCCAACACUGACGCUCAUGCACGAAAGCGUGGGGAGCAAACAGG
rnacentral:rRNA from 1 species